rnacentral:lncRNA from 1 species
AAAGGGGCCGUCAAGUGCAGAGCGUUGGACCCUGGCCUGGGUGGUGUCGGGAAAGUCUUUGCGGCAGGAGUUGUCCUCAGUUUGUCUUCUCGCCACUUUUUACUGACCCUUAUCGAUUUAAAACCCAGCCACAGCGAAAGCCCUUUAAUCUCCUGCCGAGGCCUGCCGGGCUAGCUCUGCCUAGCUAUGAGAAAAGGAAAAUGUUACCUCCAGGCCAUCUAAAUGUCAUUCUUUAAUUAUCCAUCAGUUUGCUUAUAUUUUGCUAUCAUUAUACUAUAAUAUAUAUUGGCUUGCACGUAAAUAUGUGGAAGAAAUACAAAGAAAAGGAAUUAAGUUUUUAAGAAAGCAGUCAUGUUUGACUGGUCAAAACAAAAGCCCCAGAAACAGAAGGCUAUCACCACUAUAUUAAACUACUGCCUGGCUUCAAUAUCAGUUGAUACUGCAUGGGGCAUGGAGCAAGAGCAGCCUGAGAGGAAAAAGGCACUGAAUUAAUAAGAAAACACAUCAGAGAAGACAUAAUAGUAAAAAAUUCUAUACUAGAGUAUCUGGCUUUUUCUGUGUCAUUUUUGCUAAGAUACUGUGUAGCUACUCAAAGCAACUCCACUAAAUCACUGCUUUCAGGUUUGAAUCUAUGACUGGGAAAAGACUGAUUUCUUAGGUCCUAGAGUAGCCCUUCUAUAGGGCUAUUGAAUAUCUUACAAUUUCUUUCAAAAUGUGAGGACAAAGAUAUAAUUUUUGGAGAAUCAAGAAACUAUCCAUACAUACUUCAUUCUCUAAACUGCCAUAUAGUCUUUAAAAUUGCCAACAUAGUGCAGAUAUUUGUCCUUUGGGAAAAAUAAUAUCCUAAGACAAAUAAAGUUACUCAUUUAAUUUGUUUUAUCAAUGGAACAAAAGAACAUACUAGUAAAUUUUAAGAGGGAAUCAGCUAUUAGUAAUACACAGGCCUUUAUACAGAAAGCAACUUAUAAGCAGCAAUGAUCUCUUAGGGGAAAUUUGUCAUAUACAGUACGAGAUAUUUAAAAUGAAAAUGAAAGAAACCUCAACAAGAGAAAUUAAAAAUUUCAAAAGUUAAUGAAAAUAGGGCCAGGGAUUUAGCUCAGUAAUGCCACACCUGCCUCACAAGUACAAGGUCCUGAGUUUGAUCCCUGG